GACAGAGGGUGCAAACGUUGUUCGGAAUUACUGGGCGUAAAGCGUGUGUAGGCGGCCAUGUAAGUCGGAUGUGAAAGCCCCGGGCUUAACCCGGGAAGUGCAUUCGAUACUGCGUGGCUUGAGUAUCGGAGAGGUUGGUGGAAUUCUCGGUGUAGAGGUGAAAUUCGUAGAUAUCGAGAGGAACACCGGUGGCGAAGGCGGCCAACUGGACGAAUACUGACGCUGAGACACGAAAAGCGUGGGGGAGCAAAACAGG
rnacentral:rRNA from 1 species